rnacentral:snoRNA from 1 species
UUAGAAGAAAUUAUAAUGGUAAUUUUUAAAUAUUUGGAAUGGUAAGAUAAUAAUUAUAUUACAUAUAAAACUUGCGGGUUGAAAUAGAGUUGGCAGCGUCUUUGUGUAAUCAGGUUUUGCAACACCCUGAUUGCUCCAAUCUGAU